rnacentral:rRNA from 1 species
UACAGAGGGGGCAAGCGCUAUUCGGAAUUAUUGGGCGUAAAGGGCGCGUAGGCGGCUUUGCAAGUGACGGGUGAAAUCCCUCGGCUUAACCGAGGAACUGCCUGUCAGACUGCAUGGCUUGAGACCGGGAGAGGUGAGUGGAAUUCCCAGUGUAGCGGUGAAAUGCGUAGAUAUUGGGAGGAACACCAGUGGCGAAGGCGGCUCACUGGACCGGUACUGACGCUGAGGCGCGAAAGCGUGGGGAGCAAACAGG